AGCGAACGCUGGCGGCAGGCCGAACACAUGCAAGUCGAACGAACUCUUCGGAGUUAGUGGCGGACGGGUGAGUAACACGUGGGAACGUGCCUUUAGGUUCGGAAUAACUCAUGGAAACUUGUGCUAAUACCGAAUGUGCCCUUCGGGGGAAAGAUUUAUCGCCUUUAGAGCGGCCCGCGUCUGAUUAGCUAGUUGGUGAGGUAAAGGCUCACCAAGGCGACGAUCAGUAGCUGGUCUGAGAGGAUGAUCAGCCACAUUGGGACUGAGACACGGCCCAAACUCCUACGGGAGGCAGCAGUGGGGAAUCUUGCGCAAUGGGCGAAAGCCUGACGCAGCCAUGCCGCGUGAAUGAUGAAGGUCUUAGGAUUGUAAAAUUCUUUCACCGGGGACGAUAAUGACGGUACCCGGAGAAGAAGCCCCGGCUAACUACGUGCCAACAGCCGCCGUAA
rnacentral:rRNA from 1 species